rnacentral:tRNA from 1 species
GACUCGUUAGCUCAGUUGGUAGAGCAAUUGACUUUUAAUCAAAGGAUCACUGGUUCGAGCCCAGUACGGGUCA